UCAUCAAUGAAAUCAUGCACGUGUCAAUUUGCCCCAAAUUAGACGGACUAGCUGGUCAAAAUAGUGACAUCUAUGUAAUGCUACAGAAACAAAGCAUGCACGUAUGGAGGGGAUAUUUAGCGGUCAUCUCAUUAAAAAUUUGUCGGUGAGUAAAAAGCCUUUUGCCAAGACCUCUGGGCUGGUGUGUCUAUUCAGAAUCUGAAAUGAAACAGAUGAGCUUGUUAGCACAGAUGAAAACACACACUAAUGAAGACCGGUCCAGUCCAAAGGAAUACAUUUUGUUCAAUUUCUCAGAAAACAAGAUAUGUUCAGUUUGCAUCCAAACUUUGGGAUGGAUCGAUGGAUGGAUGGAGAUUCUCAAUGUGCUCUUCAGACUUUUGAAACCUGAACCCAAACAGAAUUUCUCUUGGGACGUAUUGACAGUGUUUUAUUUAAGAGAGCAGCUGUAGCAAACAGGAAAUCCUUCCUGCCUGUUACUUAGCAACAAGUCCAAUUCUACUAUUCUCCACCUGCUGAAUAUUGACAGUGUAAAUGAGUGUUUGGGGAUGAGGAAGACGAGAUGCUCAGAAAGUAUGACACACUCAUUGUGUGCUAUAGUGAACCCCCCAAAAGCAUCCCUUCAGCGCAAUCGAAACCUAUUAAAAGAUUACAUUUUCC